UUGGUAACAUUAAUAAUUGGUCAAUUGGUGUUGGAAGAUGAAAUAUCAAUUGGGAUAUUUUGUUACUACUUAAUAUUAUAUAUUAUAUAUAUUAUAUAUGUAGUAUGUGUGGUGGAAAAUAGAAGAAGAGAGUUAUCAGAAAAGGGAAAAGAGGANAGAACAUUUUGGUAACAUUAAUAAUUGGUCAAUUGGUGUUGGAAGAUGAAAUAUCAAUUGGGAUAUUUUGUUACUACUUAAUAUUAUAUAUUAUAUAUAUUAUAUAUGUAGUAUGUGUGGUGGAAAAGAGAAGAAGAAAAGAAGAUAUAUCUGAAAGAAGAAAAGAAAG
rnacentral:lncRNA from 1 species